UUAGGAACUACUUGUCGUCCUCAGCAUAAGGAAUCAAGAGAGAAGUAAAAAUGAGAGAGUCUUACUGGUGAAAACCUUCACGGGCACCAUAGGGCGAUGGUAAGUUGAGAAAGAUAAAAAUUAGAGAGUGUUAUCAGUAAAAACCCUCACGAGCACUUUAAGACGAUUAUGAUUUGAGAAAAAUAAAAAUAAGAGUCUCAUUGGUGAAAAAUCCUCACG
rnacentral:lncRNA from 1 species